GGGCGAGGCCGUGCCGGCUCUUCGGAGCAAUACUCGGC
rnacentral:ribozyme from 1 species